GGUGAGUUUACCCAAGGCUGGGUACCCAGAAGCUUUCUGCGUUGUCUUCCCCUGAGAUCCAGGCAUACCUGGGCUGAUCCAAUCAGGGACACAUCUGAGUUAAAAAAUCCAACCAGUAGCCAGUGGCCACUAUUACAGAAGUGGGAAUGUGCCCUCACAUUAGGGCCACUAGAGACCGCAUGCAUCUUCUCAGGAGCUACGGGACUAACAAGUCGGGGUGGUUUGGUUUGGCGUUGUGAGUGUAGUAGCAUAUUUUAGGGGAUAUAUAAUAGUUUGUCAGGUACUCGGUGCACAUGCCCCAACACAGUCACAGAUACAUGAGUAAAAAUAAGAAAAGUAAAUCUUUAAAAAGACAAAAGAAAGAAAUUUGCGCAAGGAAGAAAUGUGAUGGAUUUGGGUGUUUUCUAAUAAAAUAACACUGCUUCGGUGUUCUUUGUCCAAAAGUUAGUGUUAAUCAGAGUAAAGAAAUCACACAUAUAACCUGAAGAUGGGCACUUUGAACACCAAGGCACACUUGGUUCAAUUACUUCUUAUGUUUUUCAUAAAACGUUUUGAAAACCUGAUUAUCCAUCACCUCAGUUGUGUCUGAUGUAAAUCAUAUAGGUUUGUUCUCUUAAAAAAAUAAUAAUGCCAAUAACAUUUAAGGCGAGGUUCAAAAAUGUUAGUGAGCACAAAAAUCUCAGUGUCUGAGCCCAGCUAGGCUUUGAUGCACAGGAGGGGUUUUGGGGCUGGACCUGAAGAGCUGUGUCUUUAACACGCUCAAGGUGUUGCUGAUGCUGGUGAGCACUGAAUCAUGGCCAUUCAAGUUGCUCAUGGGGCAUCUUUUUGAAGCUCAUGUCAGUAUGUUUUGAUCCUUUUUCUCCAAUCUUAACUAACACAGCAUCUUGGGUUCUAUUCAAGGCUUUUCUGAUUUUUCUGAGGUUUUAGAAAUACUGCUGUUGCUGUUUUAGAAAAACAGGUCAGGUGCUCGCCAUAUUGGCCCACUUCAUGCUUCUAAUAACCCUCAUUUUAUAGCCCGUGUUGCUCAGGCUGAUAGAGAAACAUGCCCAUACAUCACAGAGUGGGUUAACUAUAGAACCACAUCUCAAAUCCAGGUCUUUAUAACCUCAAAGUUUAUGUUCAUAACCAACAUCUCCCAGUGCCGUCUUCGAAGUGAAAUAUUAUUAAACUCAAAGAUUUGUCUGAAUCUCCCAAUUUUAGCCAGCUCCCCAGUUUACAGUUUGAUAUCUCAUUAUAAAGCAAAGGAAGAAGACAGGAUGAGGAAGUUGGUUUGAUUUCAGAGAUCGGAUAGAUGUUAAAAUCUUGGUCUUAUCUGAAAAGAAAACAUUGGGCCUUGGAAGUUUCACAAAUGGUGCUGAAGAUAUGGCUCAGCAGUUAAGAGUAAAUUCAGCUCUUCAGAGGACCAAAGGUCAUUCCCAACACCCAUAUCAAUCAGCUUAAAACUAUCGAUAAUGGAGAAGUUGAGACCUUUGCCCUUUACUGACACCAGAUGAGUGAAUACAUCUCUCUCCCCGCAACAUUCACACACAGUUAAAAAUAAUAAAAUAAAAUUUGUGCAAAACCACAAAAAUAAUCACUAAACUUAUGCGGACAGUAACAGUUCUAAAGAAUGGGCCCACAGACCAACAUUCCAAGGCAUGGCUUUAAAAAUUAUCAUACCAUGACUCCUAAUCCAACAGGGACACUAAUCUACCUCCUGAAUAUCCAGUUCCACUGUCAAGGUCGUGUCUAAGCCAGUGGAGCCUCCGAGGAUGAGGCAACAGAGCCCAGGGGGAAUUGGAGGCAGUGUUCUAAAAGAAAAUCGCACGAACUUCAGGCUUGCCCACCUUUCUCUUCACAUAAAGGCAUCCC
rnacentral:lncRNA from 1 species